rnacentral:rRNA from 1 species
CACGUAGGGCGCAAGCGUUGUCCGGAUUUAUUGGGCGUAAAGAGCGUGUAGGCGGCCAUGUAGGUCCGUUGUGAAAACUCGAGGCUCAACCUCGAGACGCCGAUGGAAACCAUGUGGCUAGAGUCCGGAAGAGGAGAGUGGAAUUCCUGGUGUAGCGGUGAAAUGCGCAGAUAUCAGGAAGAACACCCGUGGCUAAGGCGGCUCUCUAGUACGGUACUGACGCUGAGACGCGAAAGCGUGGGGAGCGAACAGG